AGAAGGCUGGUUUCAUUAGCUACAGGUUUCAGUCGUCUCUAAUUCUCUUUUAAUUCAAGUUUAAUAGAAGGCUAAUUUCAUUAGCUACAGGUUUCAGUCGUCUCUAAUUCUCUUUUAAUUCAAGUUUAAUGUGUGUGUAAUUCCUUUGUUGUUCAAUUUUAAUUAAUAUAUUGUGGAGAGGCAGGCCACUUUGCUAGGGAAUGCACUAGCCAAUCCGUGAACUGAUCAUGUAUAUGAUCUUUCUCUUUUUUCUAUCCAUCCUCUAAGUACUUAUUUUCUUUGUAGUGACAUAUUUUUCCAGUUGUUAUUUGAUUAGCUAUAUGAUCAGUUAAGUUUUUGGUUGAUGGAUUUAUAUACAAGUAUAUAAAAAAACUGAAGGUUAAAUUCUUGCA